rnacentral:rRNA from 1 species
AGUCUGAUCUAGCCAUGCCGCGUGCAGUGAUGACUGCCCUAUGGAUGUAAGCUGUUUCUAUACAGAGAACGCACAGUACGCUGUACAAGAUUGACAGGACUGUACCAAUACAGAUCG